rnacentral:rRNA from 1 species
AAACUGAAGAGUUUGAUCCUGGCUCAGAUUGAACGCUGGCGGCAUGCUUUACACAUGCAAGUCGAACGGCAGCACGGGUGCUUGCACCUGGUGGCGAGUGGCGGACGGGUGAGUAAUGCAUCGGAACGUAUCCUGGAGUGGGGGAUAACGCAUCGAAAGAUGUGCUAAUACCGCAUAUUCUCUGAGGAGGAAAGUAGGGGAUCGCAAGACCUUAUGCUUUUGGAGCGGCCGAUGCCUGAUUAGCUAGUUGGUGGGGUAAAGGCCUACCAAGGCGUCGAUCAGUAGUUGGUCUGAGAGGACGACCAGCCACACUGGGACUGAGACACGGCCCAGACUCCUACGGGAGGCAGCAGUGGGGAAUUUUGGACAAUGGGCGCAAGCCUGAUCCAGCAAUGCCGCGUGAGUGAAGAAGGCCUUCGGGUUGUAAAGCUCUUUCAGUCGAGAAGAAAAGAUUGUGACUAAUAAUCACAAUUCAUGACGGUACCGACAGAAGAAGCACCGGCUAACUACGUGCCAGCAGCCGCGGUAAUACGUAGGGUGCAAGCGUUAAUCGGAAUUACUGGGCGUAAAGGGUGCGCAGGCGGCUCUGUAAGUCAGAUGUGAAAUCCCC